ensembl:lncRNA
GUGGAGUAUUUUAGUGGUAGUGGUUAAUGUAGUAUAGUGGAGUAUUUUAGUGUAGUGUUAAUGUAGUAUAGUGGAGUAUUUAGUGUAGUGUAGUGUUAAUGUAGUAUAGUGGAGUAUUUUAGUGUAGUGUUAAUGUAGUAUAGUGGAGUAUUUUAGUGUAGUGUUAAUGUAGUAUAGUGGAGUAUUUUAGUGUAGUGUUAAUGUAGUAUAGUGGAGUAUUUUAGUGUAUUGUAGUGUUAAUGUAGUAUAGCGAGUAUUUUAGUGUAGUGUUAAUGUAGUAUAGUGGAGUAUUUUAGUGUAGUGUUAAUGUAGUAUAGUGGAGUAUUUUAGUGUAGUGUUAAUGUAGUAUAGUGGAGUAUUUUAGUGUAUGUUAAUGUAGUAUGUGGAGUAUUUUAGUGUAGUGUUAAUGUAGUAUAGUGGAGUAUUUUAGUGUAGUGUUAAUGUAGUAUAGUGGAGUAUUUUAGUGUAGUGUUAAUGUAGUAUAGUGGAGUAUUUUUAGUGUAGUGUUACUGUAGUAUAGUGGCGUAUUUUAGUGUAGUGUUAAUGUAGUAUAGUGGAGUAUUUUAGUGUCGUGUUAAUGUAGUCUAGUGGAGUCUUUUAGUGUAGUGUUAAUGUAGUAUAGUGGAGUAUUUUAGUGUAGUGUUAAUGUAGUAUAGUGGAGUAUUUUAGUGUAGUGUAGUGUUAAUGUAGUAUAGUGGAGUAUUUAGUUGUAGUGUAGUGUUAAUGUAGUAUAGUGGAGUAUUUUAGUGUAGUGUUAAUGUAGUAUAGUG